GACGAACGCUGGCGGCGGGCUUACCACAUGCAAGUCGAACGGAAAGGCCUUGCUUUUUUGGGGUGCUCGAGUGGCGAACGGGUGAGUAACACGUGAGUAACCUGCCCUUGACUUUGGGAUAACUUCAGGAAACUGGGGCUAAUACCGGAUAGGAGCUCCUGCUGCAUGGUGGGGGUUGGAAAGUUUCGGCGGUUGGGGAUGGACUCGCGGCUUAUCAGCUUGUUGGUGGGGUAGUGGCUUACCAAGGCUUUGACGGGUAGCCGGCCUGAGAGGGUGACCGGCCACAUUGGGACUGAGAUACGGCCCAGACUCCUACGGGAGGCAGCAGUGGGGAAUAUUGCACAAUGGGCGGAAGCCUGAUGCAGCAACGCCGCGUGCGGGAUGACGGCCUUCGGGUUGUAAACCGCUUUCGCCUGUGACGAAGCGUGAGUGACGGUAAUGGGUAAAGAAGCACCGGCUAACUACGUG
rnacentral:rRNA from 1 species